CACGUAGGGUGCGAGCGUUGUCCGGAAUUAUUGGGCGUAAAGAGCUCGUAGGCGGUGUGUCGCGUCGGCCGUGAAAACCUGCAGCUUAACUGUGGGCUUGCGGUCGAUACGGGCAUCACUGGAGUUCGGCAGGGGAGACUGGAAUUCCUGGUGUAGCGGUGAAUGCGCAGAUAUCAGGAGGAACACCGGUGGCGAAGGCGGGUCUCUGGGCAGUAACUGACGCUGAGGAGCGAAAGCGUGGGGAGCGAACAGG
rnacentral:rRNA from 1 species